rnacentral:lncRNA from 1 species
AUGAUGAAGACUGUAUUAAUGUUGUUAGUGGUGAUCUGGGUACCGGCUACAGUGAUGCCAGGAAUGUGUCAUUUCACCCCCCAAGUUACAGCACAAGUGGGACAAAAUGUCACUUUGCAGUGCUGUUUUGAUGCUUCAUUGAAUUUAAGAACUCGGACAGUUGACUGGAAAAAAGAUGACAAGCAGGUGGUCCACGUCUACCGCGAUAGAAAGGACUGUCCUGAUCUACAGGAAACGCAGUUCAGACACAGGACAGCUCUAAGGCAUGAAGACCUGAGCAGAGGAGUCAUGACACUGCAGAUCUUGGCUCAGCUCAGUGACACUGGCAACUUCUCCUGUAAUGUGCCAAAAGGCCGGGGUUCAGAAAUGCUCUCCCAGCGAGUCAUGCUCAUUGGUAACGGCAUGGAUUUCCUAGAAUCACUUUAACAUUUAAAAGGUGCUUAACUGUUUUUUUUAACAGUGAUGAACACAAGAGAAGUCCAUGCCAACACAACAAGGUCUCCGAAGGAAGACGAGAUGACCACAUCUGGUAAACUGUUUAAAUGUUCUCUCAUCAUGACAAACAAGUUCAUAGUGUGGAUUAAUCAUUGGCCUGGUCAUUGUCUGUGUUCUAGAGCUGCUCCACGUUUAUUUGUCAGUUAUCCUGUGGAAGGGGAAUUACCUACUGAUAACUUAGUAUGCUGAUUCAUAGCUUCGGCUUCAGAAAGCUUCUCCCUUCUUUACUACACCAGCUGUUAGGGCCGCGAUUAUUUUGUUUUCACCAGAUGAUUAAAAACAGAAAGCUGACAGUGGUGUAACUUGUUCUAAAUCUGAAAGAGUGAAAGCAGCCUUGGAUUAUAUUAUAUAUUGUAAAAUGAUUUACUGCUACAAAGAAGAGGUAGUAACGCGGGAGUUACUGUAGCUGUAUUGUGACGUGAGUUAAAUAGUUUGUUUAUGUC